GGCGCUGUCAGACGGGCUUGGCCGGGGCUCAGGCUCCGGCCCGGGCGGUAAGUGGGGAGCAAUCUGUGUGGGGGGAGCGGCGUGGAGGGGUGGCAGCUGCGUGUGCGGUACUGUGGGGGCGGCGGGGCCGCUGGGCGCCCCUUCUCUGCCUCCUAACCUCGCCUCUGUGCUUCCCUCUUGCCCGCUCUGUUCCUCCUCCCAUCCCGCAGCUCCGUGCCCGGGGCCCUGCCAGCAGAGGAGACAGGUAUAUGCUGGUCACUUUCGAAGAGCCGCCCUAUGCUAUUAAGGCUGGAUGGAAAGAAAACCAUGCAACGUUUAUGAAUGAAGUGAAAAACCUUCAGGCUGAAGGACUUAAGACUCUUGGCCAAUCCCUAAGGACAGCUUUUGAUUUAUUAAAUUUAAAUAGAUUAGUAACUGGCAUAGACAACUAUGGGCAGGGAAGAAACCCUUUUUUCUUGAAGUCAGAAAUAAUUAUCACAAUUAUUGAUGGGAGCAAGUUGACCACCACCAGUGGAGUCCAGGAUGAGAUUCAUUUACCUCUUAAUUCUCCUUUGCCUGGAAGUGAAUUGACCAAGGAACCUUUUUGUUGGGAUCAGAGACUCUGUGCAUUAGUGUUGGCGGUUGCCCGGCACCAUGUCGGUAGAAUCAGAACAGUUGACAGGUGUGCCUUUAGAUGACUCUGCAAUCACACCAAUAUGUGAAGUGACAGGCAGCCAUUCAUAUUUUGUGUGUUCUCCAAGAACACUUAAUCAGUGUCUAGAGUCCUUGGUGCAGAAAGUACAAAGUGGGGUGGUAAUAAACUUUGAAAAAACAGGACCAGAUCCUUCCCCUGUAGAAGAUGGGCAGCCAGAUAUUUCAAGGCCCUUUGGAUCUCAGCCUUGGCAUAGCUGUCACAAACUCGUAUAUGUCACACCAAAUCCUAAAACUGGGAUUCCUAUAGGUCAUUGGCCUGUUCCAGAGUCUUUUUGGCCAGAUCAAAAUUCGCCAGCACUACCACCUCAUACAUCUCAUCCUGUAGUGAAGUUUUCCUGUAUAGACUGUGAACCAAUGGUUAUUGAUAAACUUCCUUGUGACAAAUAUGAGUUGGAACCUUCACCACUGACUCUAUUUAUCCUGGAAAGGAAAUCUCCUCAAACAUGUUGGCAGGUGUAUGUGAGCAAUAGUGCAAAAUAUAGUGAACUUGGUCAUCCUUUUGGUUACCUGAAAGCCAGUACAGCACUGAACUGUGUCAACUUAUUUGUGAUGGCUUACAAUUAUCCAGUCCUUCUUCCCCUCUUAGAUGACUUGUUUAAAGUGUGUAAGGCAAAACCAACAUUGAAGUGAAGACAGUCAUUUGAAAGUUGUUUGAAGACAAUGCCUCCUUACUAUCUCGGGCCCUUGAAGAAAGCUGUUAGUAUUAUGGGAGCACCUAACCUAAUAGCAGACAGUAUGGAAUACGGACUUAGUUACAGUGUCAUUUCACACCUCAAAAAACUGAGUCAACAAGCCAAAAUAGAAUCUGAUCGAGUCACUGAAUCUGUAGGCAAAAAAGGUGGUACAGGAAACUGGAAUAAAAGUCCGGAGCUGAUCACAUGGUUUAUCAAUGGCAUAUAGGGGAGAUUUUCAACAACUCCUCCAGGGAAUUUCAGAGGAUGUCCCUCACAGACUGCUAGACCUUAAUAUGAAGGAACACACUGGGUUCCAAGUUGCUUUGCUGAAUAAGGAUUUGAAGCCACAGACAUUUAGAAAUGCUUAUGACAUACCAAGAUGAAAUCUUUUGGAUCACUUAACAAGAAUGAGAUCUAAUCUUUUGAAGCACACUUGCAUAUUUCUUAAAGGACAGGACGAAGAUCAGUGCACAGUGUUCGUAUAGCACAAAUGGGGAACUACCAGAAAUACCUCAAGCAAGUACCUUCUCCACUAAGAGAACUUAAUCCUGAUCAGCCACAAAGGUUGCAUACAUUUGGCAACCCCUUUAAGCUGGAUAAGAAGGGUAUGAUGAUAGAUGAAGCAGAUGAAUUUGUGGCUGGACCUCAAAAUGAACAUAAACGACCUGGAGAACCAAAAAAUGCAAGGGAUCCCUAAAAGACAUUGGUGUAUGUCUCCACUACUAAAAGGGAGACAGCAGAAUCCUGUUGUAAGCAAUCAUGUAGGGGGAAAAGGACCACCUGUACCUACAACUCAAGCACAGCCAGAUCUUAUUAAACCUCUUCCUCUUCAUAAAAUUUCAGAAAUUGUUGCGGGAAAAACCACGAAGGAUUCGAUAGUACAUGAUGUGGUUGAAAAUCAUGUUGCAGACCAACUUUCAUCAGACAUUACACCAAAUGCUAUGGAUACUGAAUUUUCAACAUCUUCUCCAGUCAGUUUACUGGAACAGCUAACCAAUCAUACAGAGGCAGGCUCUUGGUCAUGACCAUUUAGGAACCAAUGACCUCACUGUUGGUGGAUUUUUAGAAAAUUAUGAGGAGCCAAGAGAUAAAGAACAAUGUGCUGAAAAGAACAUACCAGCAUCUUCAUUCAACAAAGGAAAGAAAGUGAUGCAUUGCAAAAGCCAUGAAGAGGUCAAUACCAAACUAAAAGCACAAAUAAUGAAAGAGAUCCGAAAGCCAGGGAGAAAAUAUGAAAGAAUCUUCACUUUACUGAAGCAUGUGCAAGGCAGUUUACAAACAAGACUAAUAUUUUUACAAAAUGUCAUUAAAGAAGCAUCAAGGUUAAAAAACGAAUGCUAAUAGAACAACUGUAGAACUUCGUGGAUGAAACUCAUCAAAGAGCCAAUCGGAUCAACCAUAUUAACAACAAUUAA